rnacentral:rRNA from 1 species
AUUGAACGCUGGCGGCAGGCCUAACACAUGCAUGUCGAACGAGUGGCGGACGGGUGAGUAAUGUCUGGGAAACUGCAUGAUGGAGGGGGAUAACUACUGGAACCGGUAGCUAAUACCGCAUCCCAUCCGAUGUCCUCAGAUGGGAUGAGCUAGUAGGUGGGGUAACGGCUCACCUAGGCGACGAUCCCUAGCUGGUCUGAGAGUAUGACCAGCCAGCCGGGAACUGAGACACGGUCCUGACUCCUACGGGAGGCAGCAGUGGGGAAUGUUGCACAAUGUGCGCAAGCCUGAUGCAGCCAGUCCUCGUGUGUGAAGGGGGGCUUCGAGUUGUAAAGUACUUUCAGCGGGGAGGCGUUACCCGCAGAAGAAGCGCCGGCGAACUCCGUACCAGCCGCCGCGGUAAUAC